rnacentral:rRNA from 1 species
GGUCUGACCUGCCCGGUGAGGUGAGCUUAAACGGUCGCAGUUUUACUGUGCUAAGGUAGCAUAAUAGUUCGUCCUUUAAUUGGGGAAGAGUAUGAAUGGUUGAAUGAUGGAAAUACUUUAUUGUGGGCGUAUUUUGAAAUUUACUUCUAGGUGCAAAGGCUUAGAUAUAUUUAUUAGACGAGAAGACCCUGUUGAGCUUGGUAGAUCUUUGCGCUACUGUGUAGAGUAGUAUGUUUUUUCGGGGUCGAGAGGAAGGGAUAAAAUUCCUUCUUGGUAGUUGAAGAUCCAGCAUGGCUGAUAAGAAGAAGAUAGUUACCACAGGGAUAACAGCGCAAUCUUUCUGGCAAGGUCAUAUUUGAAGGGAGGUUUGCGACCUCGAUGUUGAAUCAGAAUCCCUACCAGGUGUAGCAGCUUGGUAAGUAAGACUGUUCGUCUUUUGAAAUUCUAC